rnacentral:rRNA from 1 species
GAUGAACGCUGGCGGCGUGCCUAAUACAUGCAAGUCGAGCGAACAGAUGAGGAGCUUGCUCCUCUGACGUUAGCGGCGGACGGGUGAGUAACACGUGGAUAACCUACCUAUAAGACUGGGAUAACUUCGGGAAACCGGAGCUAAUCCGGGAUAAUAUAUUGAACCGCAUGGUUCAUUGGUAAAUGACGGUUUUUCUGUCUCUACUCGCUGGUUCCGCGCCGCAUUAGCUAGUUGGUAAGGUAACGGCUUUCCAAGGCAACGAUGCGUAGCCGACCUGAGAGGGUGAUCGGCCACACUGGAACUGAGACACGGUCCAGACUCCUACGGGAGGCAGCAGUAGGGAAUCGUCCGCAAUGGGCGAAAGCCUGACGGAGCAACGCCGCGUGAGUGAUGAAGGUCUUCGGACCGUAAAACUCUGUUAUUAGGGAAGAACAAAUGUGGAAGUAACUAUGCACGUCUUGACGGUACCUAGUCAGAAAGCCACGGCUAACUACGUG